UACGAAAGGGGCUAGCGUUCUUAGGAAUUACUGGGCGUAAAGCGCACAUAGGCGGCCUUGUAAGUUGGGGGUGAAAUCCCGGAGCUCAACUCCGGAACUGCCUUCAAGACUGCAAAGCUCGAGGACGCGAGAGGUUAGCGGAAUUCCGAGUGUAGAGGUGAAAUUCGUAGAUAUUCGGAAGAACACCAGUGGCGAAGGCGGCUAACUGGCGCGUUUCUGACGCUGAGGUGCGAAAGCGUGGGGAGCAAACAGG
rnacentral:rRNA from 1 species